rnacentral:rRNA from 1 species
UUGUGACCCCAGGUCAGCGGGAUUACCCGCUGAGUUUAAGCAUAU